GAAACUGACGGAACUCUUCGGAGGGAAGGCAGUGGAAUGAGCGGCGGACGGGUGAGUAACACGUAAGGAACCUGCCUCAAGGAUUGGGAUAACUCCGAGAAAUCGGAGCUAAUACCGGAUAGUUCAACGGACCGCAUGGUCCGCUGAUGAAAGGCGCUCCGGCGUCACCUUGAGAUGGCCUUGCGGUGCAUUAGCUAGUUGGUGGGGUAACGGCCCACCAAGGCGACGAUGCAUAGCCGACCUGAGAGGGUGAUCGGCCACACUGGGACUGAGACACGGCCCAGACUCCUACGGGAGGCAGCAGUAGGGAAUCUUCCACAAUGGACGAAAGUCUGAUGGAGCAACGCCGCGUGAGUGAUGAAGGUUUUCGGAUCGUAAAACUCUGUUGUAAGGGAAGAACACGUA
rnacentral:rRNA from 1 species